UUAAAUUGAAGAGUUUGAUCAUGGCUCAGAUUGAACGCUGGCGGCAGGCCUAACACAUGCAAGUCGAACGGUAGCACAGAGAGCUUGCUCUCGGGUGACGAGUGGCGGACGGGUGAGUAAUGUCUGGGAAACUGCCUGAUGGAGGGGGAUAACUACUGGAAACGGUGGCUAAUACCGCAUAACGUCGCAAGACCAAAGAGGGGGACCUUCGGGCCUCUUGCCAU
rnacentral:rRNA from 1 species